rnacentral:tRNA from 1 species
ACCGAAAUAGCUCAGUUAGUAGAGCGUUAGACUAUUGACCGAAAGGUCCCUGAUUCGAUCCGGGAUUCGGCA